rnacentral:rRNA from 1 species
AAGCCAUGCAUGCCUAAGUAUAAGCAAUCUAUACGGUGAAACUGCGAAUGGCUCAUUAAAUCAGUUAUCGUUUAUUUGAUAGUACCUUACUACUUGGAUAACCGUGGUAAUUCUAGAGCUAAUACAUGCUAAAAACCUCGACUUCGGAAGGGGUGUAUUUAUUAGAUAAAAAACCAAUGCCCUUCGGGGCUCCUUGGUGAUUCAUAAUAACUUAACGAAUCGCAUGGCCUUGUGCCGGCGAUGGUUCAUUCAAAUUUCUGCCCUAUCAACUUUCGAUGGUAGAGUAGUGGUCUACCAUGGUUU